AGCGGCCGUUACAGCCGUUUGUGCGCGUUUUGUUUUUCUCCAGGGGACACUUAAGGCCUCGGCGUUUUCGUGUCACGUAACAAUAAAAAACUGUCCGCUCUGACAGCUUGGAAGUGAAGCUCCAAGGCUUUGUCUUCACGCAGGCCCGGCUUGCACCUGGUUGAGAAUCUCAAAUUAAAAAAAAAAAAAAAAAAGGCACAAGAAACUACACACUGAAGAAAAUAACUCCCCGCCCCCAAACUGUGCCUGGUCGGGGAACAAAGAGGUGCUCGAACAAAGGGACUCGGCCGUACCCCAACAUCUCAGAACUCGCUGAGUGUUUUAAAUCUAGCGGUUGAUUUCGUGCAGCCUGGCUCAACGCUCUUUCUAAGUGGAUUUGCCAAAAUCAGAUGUUUAUUUAGUUUCCUGUUUCAAAGUAAUUUGGGGGUUUUGUAGAGGCCUCCCCGGUGCUGAUCCGUGGGUGCUCAGUACCUUUCAGGACGUGGCGCGGAGAACAACGCUCUCCACGCACCCAAAGCGCUCGCUGGCUUUAGCGUAUGGACUCUGGGACCGAGCCUUGGGUUUUCUGUUAAAUUCUGUCUUCUUCCUCCUCCCCUCUCCAGGACCUGUCUAGUUUGCAAGCUUGCAGUGAGAUGUUCACCAGCAGCGAGGUGGCUGGUCCGAAGAACCCCAAACCUGCGAGCCCGACAUCAAAGAACGGACUCGGGAGAGCUUUAAAUUUGCCAGCCGACGGUGCCUGCAGCAGCCAUCCCUGCUUUCCACACGCGUUACCUGGGAGAGCCAGAGCCGGGGUUUUGAAUGGCAAAGGGGAACGUUAAACCAGCAAGAAUUGGUUUUUCCUAGACCUGCGACCUGGAACACAAAAGCCUGCGGAGUCUGCGGCCGGAGAGGGACGCCUCUGUGAAAGCAGCGCUCUCACGCUCUCAUUCCUCAUCUCUGCCUGGGGCAGAAGGAGGGGCAAAAGAGGAAACCAGAGUGCGUUCGCAUUUGCCUAAUGACUAUUAUUUCCUGUAUUAUGGUAAUAACUACAGCCAUCGUGCUGACAAGCCCCAGUCCCAUGUGCAUAGGCCAGGCAGGCCCUGGCUAUUGUGGGCUGGCAAAAAUGUUUACCCUGGAUUUUGUUUUCAGAAAGAGAACUUUAAUGAAAACAACUGAGUAGCUAAAACACCCUGGAGAAUAUGUUGGGAAGCAAUGCGCAAGCGAAAGAAAUUACAAGCUUUGUACUGUUCUUUUUCCUUCAUCGCUACCUUGCUUGAAUGGGCUAGCUUUUGGGCACAGGCUUCCAACAGUGCCAAGAAGACAGGAUCAGCGUGUUGUAAAUGGACCUAAUUGCUUUUGCCAACAUUUGGAGAUUUUUAAGAUACAUGUUAUUGUGAAAGUGGCUCCCAGUAUAAGCAAAUACAAUUGUUGAUGAUAAAAUUUAGCAUAUGUUUUAGACACGGAUCUAAAACUGCUUUACUGAUGUAAGCAUCGCUGUACAGUUGCUUUUCUGCUGAGCCACUGUGCCUCUCCAGAACGGUUAACUCUACACCUCUUCCAUCAUCCUUAUUCUCAGCGGUUCUCCUAAGUAAGGCCCUACAAGCUGGCUGUGUGGACCUCAAAGGCCUCCUGGACCGCCAUCAUUCACGCAAAGUUUGUAGAGUGCUGCAAACUUGCUCCAAUCUUUACAUGAUUUUCAUGUCUCAUUUACAAGACGCUCUUGGUCCACAUGGCUGAAGCGGCAAUCAUGUCAAGCAGUCACAAACGUGAAAAGCAGUAAAACUGUCCUCUUUUUAUUUAACAGGCAUUUAAUCUUCAUUAAACCUUGUUCAGUUUUUA